rnacentral:rRNA from 1 species
UUUACAUGAAGCCUAGCGAUUGUAAAUUUAGUGGCGGACGGGUGAGUAACGCGUGGGUAACCUGCCUUGUACUGGGGGACAACAGUUGGAAACGACUGCUAAUACCGCAUAAGCGCACGGUAUCGCAUGAUACAGUGUGAAAAACUCCGGUGGUAUAAGAUGGACCCGCGUCUGAUUAGCUUGUUGGUGAGGUAACGGCCCACCAAGGCGACGAUCAGUAGCCGGCCUGAGAGGGUGAACGGCCACAUUGGAACUGAGACACGGUCCAAACUCCUACGGGAGGCAGCAGUGAGGAAUAUUGGUCAAUGGACGAGAGUCUGAACCAGCCAAGUAGCGUGAAGGAUGACUGCCCUAUGGGUUGUAAACUUCUUUAUACGGGAAUAAAGUGACGGCUACCUGUGUGCCUUUCUGUAUGUACCGUAUGAAUAAGGAUCGGCUAACUCCGUG